AGAAUCAACGCUGGCGGCGUGCCUAACACAUGCAAGUCGCACGAGAAAGGGUAGCAAUACCUGAGUACAGUGGCGCACGGGUGAGUAACACGUGAAUAAUCUACCUCCGAGUGGGGGAAUAACUGAGAGAAAUCUUAGCUAAUACCGCAUAACACUUACGAGUCAAAGCAGCAAUGCGCUUGGAGAGGAGUUCGCGGCCGAUUAGUUAGUUGGCGGGGUAAUGGCCCACCAAGACGAUGAUCGGUA
rnacentral:rRNA from 1 species